rnacentral:rRNA from 1 species
UACGAAGGGUGCAAGCGUUAAUCGGAAUUACUGGGCGUAAAGCGCGCGUAGGCGGUUUGAUAAGUGAGAUGUGAAAUCCCCGGGCUCAACCUGGGAACUGCAUCUCAUACUGUCAGGCUAGAGUACGGUAGAGGGGGGUAGAAUUCCACGUGUAGCGGUGAAAUGCGUAGAGAUGUGGAGGAAUACCAGUGGCGAAGGCGGCCCCCUGGAUCGAUACUGACGCUGAGGUGCGAAAGCGUGGGGAGCAAACAGG